UUCGCCUUUGCAGUGUAGCCCAAGUCGGUCAGCACCAGAGGACCUCAGCAGCCAUGUCGAAGCCCCAUAGGGAAGCCGGGACUGCCUUCACUCAGACCCAGCAGCUACAUGCCAUGUAGCUGACACAUUCCUGGAGCACAUGUGCCGCCUGGACAUUCACACACCACCCAUCACGGCCUGGAACACUGGCAUCAUCUCUACCAAUAGCCCAGCUUCCCGAUCGGUGGAGAACUUGAAGGAGAUGAUUAAGUCUGGAAUGAAUGUGGCUUGUCUGAACUUCUCUCAUGGAACUCAUGAGUACCACGUGGAGAGCAUCAAGAACGUGCACACAGCCACGGAAAUUUUUGCUUCUGACCCCAUCCUCUACCGGCACGUUGCUUUGGCUCUGGAUACUAAAGGACCUGAGAUCCGAACGGGGCUCAUCAAGGACAGCAGCACCGCGGAGGUGGGGCUGAAGAUGGGAGCCACUCUCAAAAUCAUGCUGGAUAAUGCCUACAUGAAAAAGUGUGAUGAGAACAUCCUGUGGCUGGACUACAAGAACAUCUGCAAGGUGACGGAAGUGGGCAGCAAGAUCUACGUGGAUGAUGGGCUUAUUUCUCUCCAGGUAAAGCAGAAAGGUGCUGACUUCCUGGUGACGGAGGUGGAAAAUGGUGGUUCCUUGGGCAGCAAGAAGGGUGUGAACCUUCCUGGGGCUGCUGUGGACCUGCCUGCUGUGUCAGAAAAGGACAUCCAGGACCCGAAGUUUGGGGUCGAGCAGGAUGUCGAUAUGGUGUUUAUGUCGUUCAUCCACAAGGCAUCUGAUGUCCAUGAAGUUAGGAAGGCCCUGGGAGAGAAGGGAAAGAACAUCAAGGUAAUCAGCAAAAUUGAGAAUCAUUCUGAGGUUUGAUGAAAUCCUAGAGGCCAGUGAUGGGAUCAUGGUGGCUGGCGGUGAUCUAGGCAUUGAGAUUCCUGCAGAGAAGGUCUUUCUUGCUCAGAAGAUGACGAUUGGGUGGUGCAGCGGAGCUGGGAAGUCUGUCAUUAACAGUGAUGUGGCCAAUGCAGUCCUGAAUGCAGCCAACUGCAUCAUGCUGUCUGGAGAAACAGCCAAAGGGGACUAUCUGGAGGCUGGGCACAAGCAGCACCUGAUUGCCCAUGAGGCAGAGGCCGCCAUCUACCACUUGCAAUUAUUUGAGGAACUCUCCCCGCCUGGCGACCAUUACCAGCGACCCCACGAAGCCACCACCGUGGGUGCCAACGAGACCUCCUUCAAGUGCUGCAAUGGGGCCAUAAUCGUCCUCACCAAGUCUGGCAGGUCUGCUCACCAGGUGGCCAGAUACUGCCCACGUGCCCCCAUCAUUGCUGUGACACAGAAUCCCCAGACAGCUGGUCAGGCCCACCUGCACCAUGGCAUCUUCCCUGUGCUGUGCCAGGACCCAGUCCAGGAGGCCAGGGCUGAGGAUGUGGACCGCUGGGUGAACUUGGCCAUGAAUGUUGACAACGCCGGAAGCUUCUUUAAGAAGGGAGAUUGAGAUGUGGCCAUUGGUCUGAUUGGGUGGCGCCCUGGCUCUGGCUUCACCAACACCGUGCGUGUUGUUUCUGUGUGGUGA